UCAUGUGGCAAAACUACUGUUCAUAAUGAACAGUAUUACUGGUUUGCAAGUGUUUUAUAGUUAGAGGAUUAUGAUACGUCCAUUUUGGAAUAUUAUAAGUUAAGUUGACAAAGUAAUAUGUCAUAUUUCCUCUAUGAAGGGAAUAGGAGAGGUUAAUGUUAAUGAAAUUUAAUAUAAAAGUUUUAAGGACUAAAAUGUUAUUAAAGGGGCGUUUGUUUAGGGUUAAUAAACAAAGGGAAAGGGAAUGAGUAGACCCGAUUCCCUUUGUUGUUGUUUGUUUGUACUCACUAUCGUACUCUUUCCCCAUUUUUAGUUUUGGGAUUACGGGCUUCCUCAUUCCCCAACCCCCCCUACCUUUUCCAUUCCAUUCCCCCUGCAUCACCCUCUCCUCUCAAACCCUACACACAGCCGUCCGACUCCUCCCUCAAGUUUUCCUCUCUUCCUCACGACGGCCGGCUGCCAUUGUUCGUAGCUUUCUUCUCCUCAAUCUCGACUUUCCUGCCGCCAUUGUCAAAUUGGCCAUUUCAUUCAUUAUUCUCCAUUGGACUGCUUUGUUCGAGUUCCUACGAGUGCUGCUUCAUCUUCAUCUCAAACCCACGAUUUAAUUGGACUACUUUGUUUGUUCAUUCAAUUUGACUGCUUCAAUUCGCAGAGGAUGGAUGAAAGUAGUGCUAGUGGAGGUGGAAGGGAAAAAAACAAACGAUUUUGGACUGCCUAAGAAGAUAAGGCUCUUGUGGAAGCAUUGUCAGAGUUAGCUGUUGAUCCUCACUGGAGGUGUGAAAAUGGAUUUAGAAGCGGCUACAUGGUUCGCUUAGAGGAGCUCAUAGGUAAGGCUCUUCCUGGUUGUGGUUUGAAGGCUCUGCCACACAUUGAUUCUCGACUUAAGACACUUGUAGCCAAGUGUAGGGCUAUUUGUCAAAUGUUAAAUACAAGUGGAUUUGUCAAAUGUUAAGAGUCUUCUUAAAGGAAAUAGUAAUGCUUAGAUCUAAUGUUGUGGUUC